UCUUGCAGCAAGUGGGUUUCUUUCUGUCCCCCUGACCCAGGGCUGCAGCCGCGCUCCAGCUCCACAGCGCGAGUGAAGUCGGGCUCCCGCCCGCCCGCCCGGCGCCGGUACCUGCUGCACCUGCACCCCCGCCUGCACCCGCGCCUGCACCUGCAUCCUCGCCUGCACCUAUAUCCACACCUCCACCUGCAUCCGCACCUAUACCUGCACCCGUGCCUGCACCUGCAUCCUCGCCUGCACCCGCACCUGCACCUACAUCCGCGCCUCCACCUGCAUCCACACCUGUACCAGCACCUGCACCCGCACCCGCACCUACACCUGCACCCACACCUGCACCUGUACCCGCACUGCACCUGCACCCGCACCUAUACCUGCACCCGUGCCUGCACCUGCAUCCUCGCCUGCACCUGCACCUGCACUGCACCUGCACCUACAUCCGCGCCUCCACCUGCAUCCACGCCUGUACCAGCACCUGUACCCGCACCCGCACCUACACCCGCACCCACACCUGCACCUGUACCCGCACUACACCUGCACCUGCACCCGUACCUGUACCCGUACCUGUACCCAUACCUGCACCUGCACCUGCACCCACACCUGCAUCUGCACCUGUACCCGCACCCGCACCUGCACCUGCAUCUGCACCCGUACCUGCACCCGCACCUGCACCUGCACCAGCACCCACAGCUGCACCUGCACCCGUACCUGUACCCGUACCUGCACCCGCGCCUCCCCCUGCAUCCGCACCUGUACCGGCACCUGCACCUGCACCUACACCUACACCCACACCCACACCUGCACCUGCACCCACACUGCACCUGCACCCGCACCUAUACCUGCACCCGUGCCUGCACCUGCAUCCUCUCCUGCACCUGCACCGCACCUGCAUCCGCGCCUCCACCUGUACCAACACCUGCACCUGCACCUGCACCCACACCUCCACCUGUACCCACACUGCACCUGUACCUGCACCCGCACCUGUACCUGCACCCGCGCCUCCACCUGCAUCCGUACCUAUACCGGCACCUGCACCUGCACCCACACCUGCACCUGCACCUGCAUCCGCACCUGUACCUACACCUGCACCUGCACCCGCACCUGCACCAGCACCCGCACCAGCACCUAUGCCUCUGGCCAAUAUUUAAACUUCCCGCCAAUUCAGCUGCCGCUGGCCCGCGGCCAUGUGGCAAGGGCUGUCCCUGUGGCCCGAGAGCACGGGAUGAGCCUCCUGUUCUGAGGAAGCUUUUACCCUUAAGCUAG
rnacentral:lncRNA from 1 species